GGACUCCUACGGGGCGCAGCAGUGGGGAAUAUUGGGCAAUGGGCGCAAGCCUGACCCAGCAACGCCGCGUGAAGGAAGAAGGCUUUCGGGUUGUAAACUUCUUUUGUCAGGGACGAAGCAAGUGACGGUACCUGACGAAUAAGCCACGGCUAACUACGUGCCGGCAGCCGCGGUAAUACGUAGGUGGCAAGCGUUAUCCGGAUUUAUUGGGUGUAAAGGGUGUGUAGGCGGGAAUGCAAGUCAGACGUGAAAACUAUGGGCUCAACCCAUAGCCUGCAUUUGAAACUUUAUUUCUUGAGUGCUGG
rnacentral:rRNA from 1 species